AUUGAACGCUGGCGGCAGGCCUAACACAUGCAAGUCGAGCGGGGUUUUCGGACCUAGCGGCGGACGGGUGAGUAAUGCGUAGGAAGCUACCCGAUAGAGGGGGAUACCAGUUGGAAACGACUGUUAAUACCGCAUAAUGUCUACGGACCAAAGUGUGGGACCUUCGGGCCACAUGCUAUCGGAUGCGCCUACGUGGGAUUAGCGAGUUGGUGGGGUAAUGGCUCACCAAGGCGACGAUCCCUAGCUGGUUUGAGAGGAUGAUCAGCCACACUGGAACUGAGACACGGUCCAAACUCCUACGGGAGGCAGCAGUGGGGAAUAUUGGGCAAUGGGCGCAAGCCUGAUCCAGCCAUGCCGCGUGUGUGAAGAAGGCCUUCGGGUUGUAAAGCACUUUCAGUAGGGAGGAAGGGUGUUGUGUUAAUAGCACAGCAUUUUGACGUUACCUACAGAAGAAGCACCGGCUAACUCUGUGCCAGCCGCCGCCGUAAGAC
rnacentral:rRNA from 1 species